rnacentral:rRNA from 1 species
AUUGAACGCUGGCGGCAGGCCUAACACAUGCAAGUCGAGCGAGCGGCGGACGGGUGAGUAAUAUGUGGGAAACUGCCUGAUGGAGGGGGAUAACUACUGGAAAACGUAGCUAAUACCGCAUACCAUCGGAUCUGCCCAGAUGGGAUUAGCUAGUAGGUGGGGUAACGGCGCACCUAGGCGACGAACCCUAGCUGGUCUGAGAGGAUGACCAGCCACACUGGAACUGAGACACGGCCCAGACUCCUACGGGAGGCAGCAGUGGGGAAUAUUGCGCAAUGGGCGCAAGCCUGAUGGAGCCAUGCCGCGUGAGUGAAGAAGGCUUUCGGGUUGUAAAGCACUUUCAGCGGGGAGGCGUUACCCGCAGAAGAAGCAACGGCUAACUCCGUGCCAGCAGCCGCGGUAAUUC